UGCAAGUCGAACGAUGAAGGAGGAGCUUGCUCCUCCGGAUUAGUGGCGAACGGGUGAGUAACACGUGAGCAAUGUGCCCUUGACUCUGGAAUAAGCGCUGGAAACGGCGUCUAAUACCGGAUACGACCUGCGGAGGCAUCUCCUGCAGGUGGAAAGAACUUCGGUCAAGGAUCAGCUCACGGCCUAUCAGCUAGUUGGUGAGGUAAUGGCUCACCAAGGCGACGACGGGUAGCCGGCCUGAGAGGGUGACCGGCCACACUGGGACUGAGACACGGCCCAGACUCCUACGGGAGGCAGCAGUGGGGAAUAUUGCACAAUGGGCGCAAGCCUGAUGCAGCAACGCCGCGUGAGGGACGACGGCCUUCGGGUUGUAAACCUCUUUUAGCAGGGAAGAAGCGAGAGUGACGGUACCUGCAGAAAAAGCACCGGCUAACUACGUGCCAGCAGCCGCGGUAAUACGUAGGGUGCAAGCGUUGUCCGGAAUUAUUGGGCGUAAAGAGCUCGUAGGCGGUUUGUCGCGUCUGCUGUGAAAUCCCGAGGCUCAACCUCGGGCUUGCAGUGGGUACGGGCAGACUAGAGUGCGGUAGGGGAGAUUGGAAUUCCUGGUGUAGCGGUGGAAUGCGCAGAUAUCAGGAGGAACACCGAUGGCGAAGGCAGAUCUCUGGGCCGUAACUGACGCUGAGGAGCGAAAGCAUGGGGAGCAAACAGGCUUAGAUACCCUGGUAGUCCAUGCCGUAAACGUUGGGAACUAGAUGUGGGGACCUUUCCACGGUCUCCGUGUCGUAGCUAACGCA
rnacentral:rRNA from 1 species